AGCCGUUCUGCCUGGGAGGGGGAGCCUUGAGGGGAGCCAUGCUGCCUUCCCUGGUGGUCCAGUGGUGAGAGUGAACUCUAACCUGCAGGUUAGAGUUCACUCUCGCGAGAUCUGAGCGUUGCCGCGGUAACGCUCAGAAUCUCGCGAGAGGACCCGGCGGAGCUGCUGGUUAGAGCUCCGCCGGUCCUCUCUCCUGCCUCCCUCCCUCCCCAGCCGGCGGCCGCAUCUCCCUGUCUGUGGGCCGCUGAGGGAGAUCUUUAAUCUCCCCACCGGCCCGUGGAGGCACUAUGCAGGGCCGGCACUCGGAUAGCGCUGGCCCUGCACGGGCUGGCAGGGGAGAUCCUGGGAUCUCCCCUGCCGGCCUCGGCCCCACGGCCAUCGCGGCCCACCGGGCGUUUGCACGGUAUGCCCGAUGGCCAGUCCGGGCCUGGUUACGAUGCCACAGGAAGACACAAAUGCAGAUUUAUUGCCAUUGUUUGUAUCGAGCACCAGGGCAUGAACGUUUCAUAACAGGUCAUCAAGUGCAAGGUUGGAACAAACAUAAUUGAUAGAUAAACAUCAACUAAAACAAUAACUUCGUUGCAAUAAAUUCAUAUUUCAGACCAAAGAGAGUCUUUUGCAAGCUUUUAUUAUUUUUGUUACGGUACCUGUUCACGAUCUAGAGCAGGCCUAGACAACCUUCAACACUCCAGAUGUUUUGGACUACACCUCCCAUGAUGCUUUGCCAGCAUUAUGGGUGUAAAAGCAUUAUGGGGGAUGUAGUACACAAC